CGGCAACAGCUCAAAUUUGAAAUCUGGCCCUCGGGUCCGAAUUGUAAUUUGUAGAAGAUGCUUCGGGUGUGGUACCGGUCUAAGUUCCUUGGAACAGGACGUCAUAGAGGGUGAGAAUCCCGUAUGUGACUGGUCACCUUCGCUCAUGUGAAGCUCUUUCGAC
rnacentral:rRNA from 1 species